rnacentral:tRNA from 1 species
CAAAGUGUARCUUAACCAAAG